rnacentral:rRNA from 1 species
GAAUGCUGACAUAAGUAACGAUAAAGCGGGUGAAAAGCCCGCUCGCCGGAAGACCAAGGGUUCCUGUCCAACGUUAAUCGGGGCAGGGUGAGUCGACCCCUAAGGCGAGGCCGAAAGGCGUAGUCGAUGGGAAACAGGUUAAUAUUCCUGUACUUGGUGUUACUGCGAAGGGGGGACGGAGAAGGCUAUGUUGGCCGGGCGACGGUUGUCCCGGUUUAAGCGUGUAGGCUGGUUUUCCAGGCAAAUCCGGAAAAUCAAGGCUGAGGCGUGAUGACGAGGCACUACGGUGCUGAAGCAACAAAUGCCCUGCUUCCAGGAAAAGCCUCUAAGCAUCAGGUAACAUCAAAUCGUACCCCAAACCGACACAGGUGGUCAGGUAGAGAAUACCAAGGCGCUUGAGAGAACUCGGGUGAAGGAACUAGGCAAAAUGGUGCCGUAACUUCGGGAGAAGGCACGCUGAUAUGUAGGUGAAGCGACUUGCUCGUGGAGCUGAAAUCAGUCGAAGAUACCAGCUGGCUGCAACUGUUUAUUAAAAACACAGCACUGUGCAAACACGAAAGUGGACGUAUACGGUGUGACGCCUGCCCGGUGCCGGAAGGUUAAUUGAUGGGGUCAGCCGCAAGGCGAAGCUCUUGAUCGAAGCCCCGGUAAACGGCGGCCGUAACUAUAACGGUCCUAAGGUAGCGAAAUUCCUUGUCGGGUAAGUUCCGACCUGCACGAAUGGCGUAAUGAUGGCCAGGCUGUCUCCACCCGAGACUCAGUGAAAUUGAACUCGCUGUGAAGAUGCAGUGUACCCGCGGCAAGACGGAAAGACCCCGUGAACCUUUACUAUAGCUUGACACUGAACAUUGAGCCUUGAUGUGUAGGAUAGGUGGGAGGCUUUGAAGCGUGGACGCCAGUCUGCGUGGAGCCGACCUUGAAAUACCACCCUUUAAUGUUUGAUGUUCUAACGUAGACCCGUUAUCCGGGUUGCGGACAGUGUCUGGUGGGUAGUUUGACUGGGGCGGUCUCCUCCUAAAGAGUAACGGAGGAGCACGAAGGUUGGCUAAUCCUGGUCGGACAUCAGGAGGUUAGUGCAAUGGCAUAAGCCAGCUUGACUGCGAGCGUGACGGCGCGAGCAGGUGCGAAAGCAGGUCAUAGUGAUCCGGUGGUUCUGAAUGGAAGGGCCAUCGCUCAACGGAUAAAAGGUACUCCGGGGAUAACAGGCUGAUACCGCCCAAGAGUUCAUAUCGACGGCGGUGUUUGGCACCUCGAUGUCGGCUCAUCACAUCCUGGGGCUGAAGUAGGUCCCAAGGGUAUGGCUGUUCGCCAUUUAAAGUGGUACGCGAGCUGGGUUUAGAACGUCGUGAGACAGUUCGGUCCCUAUCUGCCGUGGGCGCUGGAGAACUGAGGGGGGCUGCUCCUAGUACGAGAGGACCGGAGUGGACGCAUCACUGGUGUUCGGGUUGUCAUGCCAAUGGCACUGCCCGGUAGCUAAAUGCGGAAGAGAUAAGUGCUGAAAGCAUCUAAGCACGAAACUUGCCCCGAGAUGAGUUCUCCCUGACUCCUUGAGAGUCCUGAAGGAACGUUGAAGACGACGACGUUGAUAGGCCGGGUGUGUAAGCGCAGCGAUGCGUUGAGCUAACCGGUACUAAUGAACCGUGAGG